rnacentral:lncRNA from 1 species
AUGGGCCAGAUCAGUUUUUUGGAACGACAGCAAACAUUCAUAUGUUUGCCCUGUAUUGGUAUCAAGACCUGAGCUUUCUCAGGGCCGCACUCCCACUCCUGUGAGUGAGAAGAUCCAGAGCAGGCCAGCAGACGCAAGACAGAGCUGACCACGACUCGACACCCGCCUGCAUCUGCUCAGAGCCCAGCCCUUGGUGGAAUCUCCCCGGGGGUGAGAAAGCGCUCAGAUUGAAAGCAGAGCUGAGAAGAUAAGCCUGCCGGCUGCACCGGCCAAGGAUUCUCCGCCCCACGGUGCAAGGCCUGGUGCUGGCGUGUACUCUGGGGGAGGCAAGGGGAGAUUCUUUUGGGCUUGGAGAAAGAAAGACAGGAAGAGCAGAAAAGGAAGAGCGACCACUGGUUUCUGUGUGUAAUGUGCUUUUGUUUAAAUGAUCUCAGAGGAAGUUUGUAUGUUUCCAUAGGAGGGAAAAUGUCAACGAAACAAAAAACAAAUGUGAUCUUCAAAAUAUCUGAAUUGUUUCUCCAAGACCGCAAUGAGAUCAAACUUCUCAGAAAAGCUUUAAUCCACCAGUGAUCCUACAAAAAGCUUUAAUCCACCAGUGAUCCUACACCCACAUCCAUUUGUAUAUCAUGAAAACAUCAUCACUUAAAGUCUGAAACCUGUGUGUGUGUGGCUGUGUGACUGCUAGUAUAGUGUGGUGGUGAUGGUUUUUUAGAUGAAUGUUUGAUACUUCAAGAUUGAAGCUGAUGUCAUUUUUUGAGAAUCAUGCUUUGGGGCUGUCAGAAGGAUUGAAUGCUUUCUGGGUAGAAGAUCCACAUGCAUUCACUAACUCGUGAACUCAUAGAGAUUGUGGCUGGACCUUCUGAAGGCCUGUGAAUGGAACAUACAUAAUGCCCUCGGACAUUCAUACUUGCUUCAUCUUUUAUUAUAUUUUGUCAAAUUUCUUUAGUGUGAGGUCUGGCUAAUUUCUGAGGAGUAGCACACACUUGGCACAGUGUGAUCUUGGACCGAGGAUAUGUUAUGUGUAAGAGCAGUGUGUGUUUAUGUGAGACUGAUCUGACCCAGCAGGAGUGCCUGCAUUGAGUUCAUGAUUUGAAUUCCUACUAGCAGAGCCCUGCUGCUGCAGAUGACUGUGUGUUCGAGUCCACGUGUGCAUUUCUUUUUUACUAGGGUAUUAUCUGGCGUCAUGUAGGCUAACUUUUCUUUUUUUUUUUUUUUUUUUUUUUUUUUUUAAUCAAUCACUCUCUUAAUUAAGUAUACAUGGCAUCAGAAACCAACAGCCCUGCAACCGUCCUGCAUUAAAAGCCCUGCCCUUUCUCUAUCCUAAAUGGUUAUGUGUAACAUUAUUAUUUAUGGGCCGAGAAUAACUGUAUAUUUAUAUUAUGUGUUUAUGCUGCUGAAGCAGUUUGUGUGUGUCCGUUUGACCUCCCUCUCAUAAAGCUCUCUAAAGGUUUCCCAAAGAGGCCAUGACCUUGUAUCCUUUUAGAGAUUGAUGCUCAUUAUUCCAGGAUGGGCAGUUAUAUUAAUCUCAGCCGCUUCCUUUAUAAAGUGGACAUCUUUACUUCAUCCCCAUUACAUGUUGGCACAGUCAUUAACUGCUGUCAUUACUAUGCUAAGUACAGGGCAGUAGGCUUGAUAUUGAUUAUAUGUCACUGAACAGUUGCAUUGGCCAAAUUACAGGUUACACCUGGGAUACAUAUCCGUCUCAGGGUUAUUUGAUCACAUCACUC